AGCUCGACACCUACAGGAGGCAGCAGUGAGGAAUAUUGGUCAAUGGGCGCAGGCCUGAACCAGCCAAGUAGCGUGAAGGAUGACUGCCCUAUGGGUUGUAAACUUCUUUUAUAUGGGAAUAAAGUUUUCCACGUGUGGAAUUUUGUAUGUACCAUAUGAAUAAGGAUCGGCUAACUCCGUGCCAGCAGCUGCGGUAAUCUGAGCGGGCUGGCAAGGC
rnacentral:rRNA from 1 species